rnacentral:rRNA from 1 species
UGCCUUACACAUGCAAGUCGAACGGCAGCACGGGGGGCAACCCCUGGUGGCGAGUGGCGAACGGGUGAGUAAUAUAUCGGAACGUACCCUGUAGCGGGGGAUAACCUCUCGAAAGAGAGGCUAAUACCGCAUACGCUCUACGGAGGAAAGCGGAGGACCGCAAGGCUUCGCACUAUAGGAGCGGCCGAUACCGGAUUAGCUAGUUGGCGGGGUAACAGCCCACCAAGGCUACGAUCCGUAGCUGGUCUGAGAGGACGAUCAGCCACACUGGAACUGACACACGGUCCAGACUCCUACGGGAGGCAGCAGUGGGGAAUUUUGGACAAUGGGCGCAAGCCUGAUCCAACCAUGCCGCGUGAGUGAAGAAGGCCUUCGGGUUGUAAAGCUC